AUGGAAGCCCCGCUCCUCCUCCCCGUGUCCACCGCUGCCUCCUCCUCCACGUCCAUCACCGUCGAUGACCACAGCCACGGCGCGGCCGGCGCCUCUGUAUCACCGUCCCGCGCCUCGCCUUCCGGCCGGAGCAUCGCCGUGCGCUACCUGGCCGUGGCCCUCGUCGCCGCGGUCUCGCUGUUCGCGCAGCACGAGGCCUCCAAGGGCUUCCGCAUCAACGUCGUCCGGGGCGGUGGCACGGCCGGUGCCGCCGGCCGGCGCUUCGACCUCCUCUUCGUCGCCAACGGCCGCGCCGAGCGCGUGCUCCACCGCGCCAGCCGCCGCGUCGAGGACGCGCUCUUCCCGGACCCCUCGUUCCCGCGGCGCCUGGUCGCCCGCGUCACCGUGCGGUUGAUGGCCGGCGGCAAUCUCACCGCCGACGACGCGACCGUCGACGCUGUCACGGACGGGGAGUACGUCAUCUCGCUGAGCCCACGCCUCCUGUCGCCGUCCUCCGGAGGCGGCAGCGCCGGGGCCGCCGACGCCGUCGCCGCCGCGGUGCGCCGGGCCGUGGCGCGCAUGUGGCUGUGGGACGGCCGCGGCGCCGCGCCGGCGCGCGUCACGGAGGCCAUGGUGGAGUACCUCGCCACCGCCGUCCCGGACGAGUCGUCGUCGCCGGCGGAGGAGCACGCGUCGGCGUCGAACACGCAGUGCAUCUCGCCGCGGUUCCUGAAGCACCUGGAGCGGCGGCGCGCCGGGUUCGUGGCGCGGCUGAACAGGGCAAUGAGGGACCGGUGGAGCGACGCCGCGGUGGACGCCGCCCUCGGGGCGCCGGCACGGCCCGUCUGCGCCGGCUACCUCGCGGCGGCGACGGAAACCGGCGGCCAACGACCGGUGGUUGGGUCCGGGGUGGCGGUUUGA
rnacentral:rRNA from 1 species